UAAGCUUACCCAAACAUCCUCUAAUUUAAUAUACGUGGCAGCCUUGGCUUUUCAGCCCUCAUCAGAUUUGCAUUAGGAAAUGAAUAUUCAUCAUUCACAACUUCUCUCCAACAUACUGCUCGAAUCGCAAGGUAAUUCUCCUUCACUUUUUCCUGCUCUUUCUUUUUUUUCAUUCAAUUUUUAGAUUUGAUUUAUACAAAUUUGAUCUUUAUAUGUUUUUCCUUCAUACUUUACCUCAUCUUCAAAAAUAAUUUUCUUCAUAUGCAAUUUUCCUGCGAAUUUUUAGAUUUGGUUGCAUAAAUUUAUAAAUAUUUUGGACUUUGAUUUUGUUCAAUGAGUCAAAAUCUGAGAAGAGUUGAAAUUCGGAAAAAAUUUGAGAUAACAACUCAAGUUUUGUUAAAAUCUCCUUCAAUUUGAAUUUGUUUUCUUCCUGAAAAAAAAGAAGUUCUUGAACGACAUGUUACGACUAUAACAAGCUCGCGACUAGGAAUGACAAUGGUGCGGUGUGGGUGCGGUGCAUUUUUUUAAACCCGCAAGUUUUAAAACCGCACCGCAUCACCUUUAAACUCGUAUAAACCCGUCCCACAUUCAUACCCAUGCAUAACCGCACCGCCCCAUUUUAAAAAAAAUAAAUAAAUUUGUAACUCCAUUGAAAAUCAUAAUAUUUUCAAAUCUACAAUUAGAAAAUAAUAACUAAUUUCUAUUAUAUCACUUUUCACUAAAAAAAUUGUCAAAAAGUAUAACGUGUACUAGUAAUGAUCAAAUAUCAUAUUUUUAUUCAAAUAAAAGAGAUGUUAAAAAAGCUACUAUAAAAUUAUUUAUUUGUAGUGUUAUGCAUGUCGUUUUAAGUAUUAUAAAAUUUAAGUAAAGAACACAUAUAAUCUUAGGUAUUUUCACGAGAACAAUACUAAUUUUUAUUAUUUUUUUAAAUUUAAACCCGCAUAUACCCGCAAUCCGCACCGCACCAUUUAAAAAAAAAACUUACUUUAACCCGCCCCACACAACUUAAAACCCGCACCGCCCCUCAUAUCUUAAAACCCACACCGCACCCGCACCGCACCAUUGCCAUCCCUACUCGCGACUCUAAUAGAAAGAAAAGGUAAGCUCUUUGGUUUGUUUGCUUGAUAUGCUAUGCCUAUCAAAGUUGGCGAAGGCUUCUGUAGCCUUAGACUCGUUACGAUAUUUGAAAAAAUAUUUUACUUUUACUAUAGAAAUUUCACAAUCCUUAUAGAUUAUGGGUUAUGGCGCAUCUGAAAUUGACAGUGGAGGACUUGGAUGGUAGCUGAACCGAUCUGAAGUUGGAAAACGGAGCUCCGAGAAACUGUUUGGUAAGUAGAGACGAUGUCAUUUUCCUUCCUUUAAGAUUAUGGGCUAUGACACAUCUAAUCUCUGUAAAGAAUGGAUUGAUGGACGAAUCUCUCAUGAUUCAUUAAUGGACUGUAUGUGCGCGACAAAAUCUUUCAUGUUUAUUCGUCUUCUUUGUUAUUUUAUUUUUUCCUCAUGAGAAUGUAUAUUGUCUUACAUAUAUACUAUAACCUUUCAUCAAGCAAAAAUAUAAUUGUGCUGUUCAUUUAAUAAUUCCAGUAUAUCUUUAAUAUAUUUUCAUUGUAAAGCUACUACAAACUUCAACCAUUGGGACAUAAGAUAUUCCUUUUAUAUCAUUCUUUAAAUUUAGUUGGUGCCAAUUAAAUAUUCUACUAAGAAACUAAAUACUUUAUUUGUUUUCGUAAAAUUUGGUUGUUCAAUUACAUAAGCCUAAAGCGCGAUUAACAAAGCAGUAAGAUGUUAUACACAAGAUAGGUUGCUUAAGAUGUUAGAUAAAUUGUUAAUAAUGAUUUAUUUUUUUCAGGUUUCUCUUCGUGUUGUUCUGAACGUCAAGGCUCCUCAACUUUGGUACGUAUCAUUCUUUCACUUGCUUUGAUUAUUAUUGUUUAGCUGCUUUAAUUUUCCCGUCUCUUAGUUUGAUUGAUAUUCUCGGAUUCACCUAUCUACUUAUUGGCUUUCUGGAUGCUUUUUCCAUAAUCAGACAUUUAUGUUUUAACGCUUCAGAUCUGAAAGGAUUUAGUGAUUUUAAUAUAUAAUCCGACUUUCAUUUUCACCUUUUUAGCUCAGGCUGAUGCUUUCUUAUCCUAUACUUCUAUGGUUCUUUGUUUGCAUAAUCUUAACCGUUUGAUUGGUGGAAUUGUACUCUACUUUAUAACAUGAUCAAUUUUCAUGUGUUAAAUUUAUUUGUUGAGAUGUAAAUUAGAAUCUGAAUCUACUUUCUCUAGAAAACAUAUCAAAAUGCUUAAGCAACAUAGAACCUUUCUAUCCAGGAGGCAAGUCCUAUCCUCCCUUCCUUUUUUAGUCCUUGAAAUUCUUUGAUAUUGCAAGUUUUUAAUGCUGCACAAGUCUUGACAAAAUUUCAAAUGAGUUUCUUGGCCACUUGGCCAGUAUCACUUACCUGAUACCUUCCUGAAAGCUAUUACAUUUGGUGUUAUUGAGAUUCUACAAACAAUCUGUGAAAAAUAUGAGAGAAAAUAUUAUUGAAUUGUUGUAUCUAAAUUAUUACAUUGAGACCUUAUUUAAAGACACUACAUUCCAAUCCUAUUCCUAAUAGGACACUACAUUACAAUCCCUUUCUAAGUAGAAUUCAAUAUGCUAUUCCUAUUCAUAUUCUAACACUCCCCCUCAAGUUGGUGCAUACAAGUCAUAUGUACCAAGCUUGUUACAAAUGUAAUUAAUACGAGGACUGGUGAGGGACUUGGUGAAGAUAUCUGCAAGUUGAUCACUUGACUUCACAAAUUUGUUACAAUAUCUCCUGAGAGUAUCUUUUCUCUGAUGAAGUGACGAUCAAUCUCUAUGUGCUUGAUCCUCUUAUGGAAUACUAGAUUAGAUGCAAUAUGAAGGGCUUCCUGAUUAUCACAUACAAGUUCCAUCUUAUCAGUUUCUCCAAAUUUUAAUUCUCUCAGCAAUUUCUUGAUCCAAACCAGCUCGCAAGUUGCUACAACCAUUGCUCGAUAUUCUGCUUUGGCACUAGAUCGAGCAACCACACUCUGUUUCUUACUCUUCCAGGACACGAAAUUACCUCCUACUAAAACACAAUAUCCAGAUGUAGAACGUCUAUCAGAGGGUGAGCCUGCCCAAUCAACAUCUGUAUAUCUAAUGAUAUGCUCAUGGCCUCGAUCCUUGAAGCGUAGUCCUUUACUUGGAGAUGACUUUAUAUAUUGCAAAAUCCGAACAACUGCAUCCCAAUGACUAUCACAGGGGGAAGUCAUAAACUGACUUACAACACUCACAGGAAAAGAGAUGUCAGGUCUAGUCACUGUAAGAUAAUUCAACUUUCCAACCAACCGCCUAUACUUUUCAGGAUCACUGAGUGGCUCCCCCUGUCUUGGAAGAAGUUUAGCAUUUGGAUCCAUAGGAGUGUCAAUGAGUCGACAUUCCAUCAUUCUGUUUCCUCAAGAAUGUCUAAAACAUACUUGCGUUGAGAAAUAACAAUACCUGAGCUGAACUGAGCAACCUCAAUACCUAGAAAGUAUUUCAAUCUACCAAGGUCUUUAGUCUGGAAAUGCUGAAAGAGAUGUUGCUUCAAGUUAGUGAUACCAUCUUGAUCAUUGCCGGUGAUAAUAAUAUCAUCAACAUAGACCACUAAAUAAAUACACAGAUUUGGUUCAGAAUAGCGAUAAAACACUGAAUGAUCAGCUCCACUACGAAUCAUGCCAAACUCCUGAAUAACUGUGCUAAACUUUCCGAACCAGGCUCGAGGACAUUGUUUCAAACCAUAGAGUGACUUGCACAAUCGACAUACAAGGAUACUAGACUCCCCCUGAGCAACAAAACCAGGUGGUUGCUCCAUAUAAACUUCUUCCUCAAGAUCACCAUGCAGAAAAACAUUCUUAAUGUCCAACUGAUAAAGAGGCCAAUGACGAACGACAGCCAUAGAGAGAAAAAAAUGAACAGAUGCUAUUUUAGCCAUGGGAGAGAAAAUGUCACUAUAAUCAAGCCUAAAUAUCUGUGUAUAUCCUUUGGCAACAAGGCGAGCCUUCAGCCGAUCAACCUGACCAUCUGGACCAACUUUGACUGUAUAAACCCAACGACAACCAAUAGUAGAUUUACCUACAGGAAGGGAAAUAAGCUCCUAAGUUCCACUCGUAUGUAAAGCAGACAUCUCAUUAAUCAUAGCCUGUUUCAAUCUUGAAUGAGAAAGUUCUUCACCUGUAGUCUUAGGAAUGGAAAUAGAGGACAAAGAUGAUACAAAAGCAUAAUGGGGUGAUGACAAAUGAUGAUAACUCAAGAAAGUAUAAUGUUGGUUAGCAUUACGAGUGAAUCUCAUACCUUUUUGAAGUGUAACUGAUUGACUAGGAAGAGGCAGGUCCGUAGUAGGGGAAGCAUCAGGCGCAGGACAUGAAUUAUCUGGGACUGAUACUGGACGUGGGCGGCGGUGAUAAGUCAAAAGUGGUGGUACUGUAGUUAGAGAUGGAGAAGUAACCAUAGAUUCCUCAAAGAUUGGUGUGGGUAAUACUGGAGGUAUGGGUAAAACCUCAGAGAUAUUAAGAUGAUCAGAAGAUGUAUAAAAAGUUUGAGAUUCAAAGAAUGUGACAUCAACAGACAUAAGGUAGCGACCCAGAUCAGGUGAAUAGCAUCGAUACCCUUUUUGAACUCAAGAGUAACCAAGGAAGACACAUUUGAGAGCACAAGGGGCUAAUUUAUCUUUCCUGGGGCUAAGUUAUGAACAAAACAUGUGUUCUCAAAAACGCGAGGGGGGAUAGAGUAGAGAUGUGACUGAGAAAAUAGUAUGGAACAGGGAACCUUAUUCUGGAUCGAAGAUGAUGGCAUUAUAUUAAUGAGAUAGCAAGAUGCGAGGACCGCAUCACCCCAAAAAUGUAGUGGAACAAGGUAUUCAAUGAGAAGAGUGCGAGCAGUCUCAAUAAGAUGUCUAUUUUUCCUUUUUGUUGAGGAGUGUAUGGACAUGAUGUUUGGUGAAUGAUUCCUUGAUGAGUCAUGAACUCCUGAAACUGGGAGGAUACGUAUUCUAAGGGAUUAUCACUACGAAAAUCACGAAUAGAAACACCAAAUUGAUUUUGUAUUUCAGCACAAACUUUUGAAUAUAGAGAAUAACUCGAAACGAUCUUUCAUUAAGUAAACCCAAGUACAUCUUGAAAAAUCAUCGAUGAAAGUAACAAAGUAACGAAAUCCUAAGGGUGAACUGACUCUACUAGGACCCCAAAUAUCGGAAUGAACUAAUGAGAAAAUAGACUAUGAGCGACUCUCAAUACUACAUGAAAAAGUAGCACGGGUGUGUUUCCCAAGUUGACACGACUCACAAUCUAAUGUGGAUAGACUAGACAAACUAGGCACCAUAUUUUGUAGCUUGGAUAGACUAGGAUGUACCAAACAUUUAUGAAUAAGGUCGGGAGGAUCUGUAGCGGAGCAUGCUGUGAAGGAAUUUAAAGAGGUAAGAUGGUAAAGGCCCUGUGAUUCAUGUACUAUGCCAAUUGUCUGUCCCGUUUUGUGAUCCUGCAUUAGAAAAGAAUCAUAAAAAAAUUAUACUACAAUUAAGGGCACGUGUCAAACGACUAACAGAUGCGAGAUUAAAAGGACAAUUAGGGACAUAAAGAACAGAGUCUAGAGUGGAAGAAGAUAAGGGUUUGGCUUGUCCAACUCCUUUUGGCUCUAUUCGAAUUCCAUUAGCUAAAGUAAUAGCAGGAAGUGAUUGUGAAUAAACAAUAUCAGACAGAAGUGAUUUUUCACCAGAAAUAUGGUCAGAAGCACCUGAGUCCACAACCCAUGAUCCAAAGAUAGGAGAUUUUGCAGUUGAGGCUAUUGGUAGAAAUAUAUGCUUACUUGCUUGAUACUGAAGAUACUCAUUAUAUUCCUUGUCAGAUAAAUAUACACGUUGAUCACCUGUGGUGUUAGACUGAGCAAUAUGAACAUUUUUGGAUAGUCGACCAUGCAAAGAAUAGCAUAUACCACGAGCAUGUCCAAGCCUUUUACAAUAACUACACUUAGGUCGAGAAUAGCAUAUGCCACGAGUAUGUCCAAGCCUUUUACAAUAACUACAUCUAGGUCGAGAUCUUCCAAAUCGACCUUUCCUUCGUUGAUUCUUCAUAAGCUCUGACAUCUGAGUUUCUGAUUUCCUCAUUAAGAUUCAGAUUUAAUCAUGAAAAAGAAAUACUAUUGGAAUUUGGCCUGGGAAAAAAAAGAAAAGUCCUCGGAUAUAAAAUCUGAUUUUCAAAAGUUGCUUGAAAUCAGAAAAUAAUCUUAUGAGCAGCCUCGGAAUGAAUAAGCGAGGUUACUAAAAAAAGAAACUGUCGGAAAAGUCGCCGGAGGGUUCCGAUGAUCGAAAUCUUGAAAGACUUGUCAGAAUCAAGAAAAAACUAUUGGUACAUCCUAGCAAUGAAGUGGUGACCUAGCUGGAAAAAAAACUUGGCCGGAAACUGGCCGGAAUAAACCGCAUGCGCCGGUGCGUGAAGCGCAUGAGGCGCAGAUUUGAAAGUUCCGGCGGCGCGUGGUGGCGCGUGGAUCGCCAGAGAUAAGAUUCGAGCACUGGGGUUUGCUCGCCCGGGUGUUUCUCACCUCGUGGUGGUGUUGGUUUUCGCACACAACACUUGAAAAAUAGAUGAGGGCUCAAAUUGGACUUAACAGUCGCCGGAAAUUGAAAUACCGAGCUGUCUUAUUGAGUUUUCUUUCCAUAAAUUUUCUCACAAAACCUGCUUUGAUACCAUGUGAAAAAUAUGAGAGAAAAUAUUAUUGAAUUGUUGUAUCUAAAUUAUUACAUUGAGACCCUAUUUAUAGACACUACAUUCCAAUCCUAUUCUUAAUAGGACACUACAUUGCAAUCCCUUUCUAAGUAGAAUUCAAUAUGCUAUUCCUAUUCAUAUUCUAACACAAUCACUGCUUCUACAUUUCAAUUUUCACCAAAGAACAAUAGGAAUGUGUAACAUGGUUAGGAUCUUUGUUGUUGUACUUGAUACCAAGAAAAAUGGUAGCCCUUUAGAAUUUAGAAAAUAGGGCAUAUUGUGUGAGAAACAUUAGUAAAAAUAAAUAAAUAAAUAAUCAAAUAAAUUGUAUCAUAGGAUAGUCCGGUGUACUAAAGUUUUCGUUGUGCUCAGGGUUCGAAAAAGGGCCGAACCACAAGAAUCUAUUGUGCGCUUGCUUCUAAUUGUUGUAAUCAUUCAUAUUUUUUUGCUAAUGGACUAAGAGAUAGACUAUAUAUCACAUUAUAGAGUUGAUUUUUUUUUUCAUUACUUCAUUUUCUGUAUUUGUAUAUGCUUGCUUUUAAUUUUUGUAAUCAUUUAUAUUUUGUCUAAUUGACUGAUAGAUUGCUGACUAUAUAUCACUUUGAAGAGUUGAUUUUGAGAAUCAAAUAAUAUAAAAAUAAGACUUAUUAAUAAGUUAGUAUAGCAAAAGACAAAAGACUUCUGUGGAUGGUAGGCAUAUUAUUCAUACCGAGUAAGUAGCUAACAAGUGUGAAUUCCGGAAUGAGAUUGAGAUCUGAAAGGGCCUUGAGGAAGUCUUGCAUCCAUGUCAAUUUGUCCUUCCUGCCAAGUUUAUUAGUGAAUUUAGGCUAUGAGAAUAGUGCAUGAAGUAGAUAAAAUUGUAUAUUUCUAUUGUCAAAUGUGUUGAUACUCAUAAAUGGGACUCAAAUAGCCUACUCUACCACCGAGGUUACUUCAAUUGGCGAAGUUUUAGGUCACAGGUUCGAAUUCUGCAUCAACCAAACUAACUCUGGUAUUUAAAUAAAGAGGAGUAGAGUGCAGGCCAUCAUCCUGAGUUUCGGUAGCUACAAUUGACACAGAGUAUUGGCGUUAGAUGGAUUUGUUUGUCAUAAAAAAGAUACAGAAAUCCUUCAACUACUUGGCAGCUUCCUCUUCCGCCUGUCACCCUCAAAGACAUCCAGGAUUAGUAAGCUACAUGAAUUCAAACAACAUUUUUUUGCAUCGAAUGCAUUUUACUUUUAAAGUUAGAAGUUCAACUCUAUUAUUUGUGUAAUUUGAGUGAAUUUAUAUAUAUAUUUGUACUAUGAUAAAGGCAUUGAAUUCAAAUGAAUCCAAGAUUCCAAAGUUACAUUCACCCUUGAUCACCCUGGCCUCGCCAUAAGCAAAAUAUUGAUGCUACCCAACAAAAUUAUUUCUUUACAUUUAAAUCACUUUAAAACGAGUGAUAUUAGAAACUAAUACUUGAAGCAGCCCUCUUUGCCCACUUGAAUUUGUAUUUUCCCUCUGUCAUGUGGUUUUAAUUUACUCAGAAGUAGAAAAGAUAAGUUCCGCAAUCUUCUCCAUUCCUAUCUCCUAUAGUGUUUAUCUUGAUUAUAUACCAAUAUUUUUAGGAUAAUUUUCUGUUUACAUACCAAAUACAAGAAAAAAUUAUAAAAUUCACUUAUUUUCUAAGAAAAUAUUUUCCUUCGCACCUAACACACCCUAGGCUGAUAUAUUUCCCUAACUUAUAGGAGUCUAUAGAUACUUAGAGCAAUAUCAUUGGGAAUCCAGCUAGAAUAAAGAGAUGGAAGACAGGAUAUGCAUGAUGUUUUGGAUAGUCACUUAUGUUAACCAGAUAAAAGUAUAGAUACCAAGCUCCAACUAAGGACCUUGGCUGUAGAUGUUCAUUUACUAAUGAAGAACCUCUGCAAACAAAUUCAUUUUCCCCCUUUCUUAUUUUAUAAUUUUUUUUUUCUAUUUUAGUGUUUCUAUUUCUGUUUGACUCUUAAUAUUUUGAUAUAAGGAGAUUAAAAUCUUUAAAUCAUUUUAUCUUAUUAGCUGAUGGAUACAUUUAAUAUGUAUUCUACGUGUUUUGAUGACUGUUGCCACCACGUAGGUUCUUCACUUUGCAUUUGAGGUUUGCUCCUCUUUAAUUUCUGUCAAAAUCUUCAUCUUUUUAUUUCCAUUUUCUUUCAUUUAGGAAUUUUCGGAUUCUCCUAAGAAUUUUCACUUUUCAAUUUCAUUGAGGAAUCUCAAAGUCAAAACUUCAGAGUUUGAUAUUUUUCAUCUCCCUUCAAUUUGGGUAUGAGUUUUCCAUUCUUAAGAUUCAGUCUACUUUGACACCUGAUAUUUCAGGAAGUUUUUGUGGUGAAGUGAAUCUCAGUGUGCUAUCUUUUUGCGAAUAAAAGAUGAACAAGAAUAUGCAUGACGCUUGAUACUUUAACAAGGUAUGUGAUGCAGCUAACCAUACUUUAUUCUUACUACAUUAAUGCUCCAUUCUUACUACAUUCUACAUUUUCAUGACUUGAAACAUUUUUCGUGUCAAUCACAGGUAUUUUGUCAGCCACGGUAUCGUAAAAUCGAAACAGUAAUAAAGAAUAAGAUGACUACCCCGAACAUCGUAACAAACUCUGUUAUUGCUUGUCCUUUUGUUGAUACCAACUUCUAUAAAAAUAUAUAAAUAUGUAAAUAACGAUAGUGAAAUCGUGAAUAUAAUGUAUAUAAACAAUAUGCAUGUUUAUAUAUAUUACCAACUCCUUACUAAUUGUUACCUUUGCUAAUAUCUGUGUGUAUAUAUAUUAGCAGCCUUUUAGCAAUUAUCAGUGGCGGAUCCAGGAAUUUCACCAAGUGGAUUCAAAUGUACAACAACAACAUAGAUCCCGCUCAGGAAAGUGGGUUCAAAUAUAUAAAAAUUAAAUACCCAGAGAAAUAAACAAACAAAUUUUGAUUAACUAAAUUCCAAAGUUAUAUUAUAAUAAUAAAAAAAAAUUCAAAAGAAAAAAUUAUCUAACAUUUAAGAAAAUGGAGCGAAAAAGGUUGUUGGUGGGUUUUGAACUCGGGAAGUUCGGACCUAUCAAAAACCUUGAACCCACCUUACCACUGGGCUAAGAAGCAUUAGCUUGUAAAAUGGAUUAAAAAAUUAAUAUAUGUAUAAAUAACAUAAAUAUCAAUCCUUUUGGAAGUAAUUACACACUCUCUCACUUUUUUAAUUACUUUACUCUCUCUCCCUAUUAAUAGACAUAAUAUAGC
rnacentral:lncRNA from 1 species